rnacentral:RNase_P_RNA from 1 species
UGAAGGGCGUAUCUCGUCGCGCACAUUGUGUUUCAAUUUAAGCAACCUCUGUGUGAGGAAAGUCCGGACUUCGCAGAGCAAGAUGCCGCCUAACGGACGGACGGCGUAAGCCGAUGGACAGUGCCACAGAAAACUACCGCCUACGGACCCUGGGUCCCGGUAAGGGUGAAAACGUGCGGUAAGAGCGCACGGGCCUCACUGGUAACAGUGGGUUCGGGUAAACCCCAUCUGAAGCAAGGUCAAAUAGGGCAUGAGAGACGGCUCGUCUCGUACCAAUGCCGGGUUGACUGCUAGAAGCUGUGUGUGAGCACAGUUCCAGAUAAAUGACGAGACUUGACAGAAUCCGGCUUAUCGCGCCCUUCAUUAC